rnacentral:sRNA from 1 species
AUGGAUUUCUUCAUUUGUCUGAUGUCCACGGAGAAGUUUAAAUACACCAUGGACACAUUUGCACCAAAGUCAGGUGAUGGAGUAAGAGCAGCAUGCAAAAGAUGUGGUUAUGCUGGUCACCUGACCUUCCAGUGCCGUAACUUAUCAAAGCUGACCCAAAUAAAGAGGUGUUAUUGGACGUUAGCAGCACCAGCUCAGACUCCAGUGAUGUGGACUUUGUAUCACCGCUUACGCAACUGA